GCCCGACUUGAGCGGAAAUCCUUUUUUGCGUGUCAUCAAGUUCAACUUAACCGAAAUCGUCUGCAAAAAAGAUUGGGAGCGGAAGGCGGAAAAAGCU
rnacentral:sRNA from 1 species